GACCGCGUAGCUCAGUUGGAAGAGCAUUGGGCUAGUAUUCCAAAGGUCGUAGGUUCGAAUCCUACCCUGGCCG